rnacentral:tRNA from 1 species
GGAGUCAUGGGGCCACCGUUGGUGCGGUAACUCUUACUUGACAUUUGGGUUUAGGGGUUCGAUUCCCCUUGGCUCCA